AUACUGGAGAUCAACAAUAAAAGUUACGAGCGUAGUUUUUUAUAUUUUUGUGCACUUUUGUAAUAUGUGUCAAAUUUAGGUGUUAUGAUAUGGAAGAAAAGGCUACAAAGGCUUAUGAUUUGGUAACACUGUAAGUACUGGGGACCUUCAACCCAUAUCAAUUUUUCGGUAAUGGUUUUUACUUCAUGUUGUUUAAUCUAUUGAUCUAUUAUAUUAUUAAGCCCCUUUUUGGUGUACAUUUCUUUGUCAUUUUAGAAAAUUUCAGAGCGUUGCACAGUAUCAUGAUGCAGUCAUUUGGACCCAAUGUGCAUACUUCCACUGUGUACUAUUAAAGAUUUUUCUUCCAUUUUCCACUUCUGCCGUCCUCCGUUUGCAUAGUUAGAAGGUGAAUUUAGGGAUUGAUUGGGUUGUUGGUAGGUUGGAGGUAAAAGGGGAAAAAAGGCAAAAGAAAAGAAUAAAAGCUGUUAACCUUUUGUUACGUUGUGUUAGGAUGAAGGACCGACCACUGUGCAUUUGCCAGUGCAAAUGGUCCAAAUAUUUCUAGAAAUGAAAUAAUAAUGCGCUCCAAACGGGGGUUAAAUGAGUUGAAAUAUGAUCCUUGAUGUUAAUACAGUUGGAAAAUUAUCAACAAAAACUUGAAGAAAUGAAAAACAUGACCACACACGAAUGUUUUGCUCACUUGAUAUGGUUUUAAUUCUAUGCGUACGAAUGCUACAAAAGUGAGUUCUUAAGAAAUGCAAAUUACAGUUUUGUUCUAGAUAAAGUGUAUUUACUAUACUAUUGUACUGAUGUCACAAUCUUUGCAGGUUUUGAAAUUUAUCUCUGCACUAGAUGGUCGUGAGGGAAAUUCAAGUGCUGAUAUUCUUCUGAAUUUUAUGGGUGGUCGUUUGUCAAGAAUAACUACUGCUUCAGUCACCUAUCCACUAUAUUUUGUGAAGACACAGCUUGCUGCAAAGGUAAUAUAGUAAAACUUCAUAUAGAACUACCGAAAAAGAAAAGAUUAACAUAAAUCAUGAGGACAACAUACACAACUUAUUUUCAAUAAAUUUGGCUGGGGACAUAAUAGCUGGAAUAGAAAUAGUGUUAUGCCCGAUGAAGCUACUCUUUACCUUAUGAAAUUUAUUCAAAAUCUAUUUUAAUUCUUUUCAUGCUUUCUUCGGAGUGUAGAGCCUUCGUUUGAUGUUUUUUAACAGAACCCAUAAUAUAGACAGGCUCCACCACUCAUAUAUAACGGUUGAUUAUUUACCUUGUCGGCAGUAUACAAUAAUUGGAAGAAAUUUCCUAUCUAUCCUCUUGAACUAAAGUUGAAAUGAAAAAGGUUAUUGGCCAAAUUGUCCACACAUGUAAUUUUAACUCUAUUCAUAAACAUUUUUAUCCCAAACAUUCAGAUUUUACAAAAUACAUAUUAUAUUGGUCUUUUGUCAUUUUAUCUAUUUGUAUGAUAUAAAAUAUUUUUAAUCUGUCGUUUAUUUUGCUCAAAAUAAUUUUACAAUAUCUCUGCAUAUAUUUACUAAUUUUGAAACUUUAUGUUUGCAUUGCAAAUAUACUUUACAAUUUAAUUUUAUUUAUGUGUAGUCUAGACAAACUAAUUAUGAAAUUUUGUCUUAUGUUAUGUCUUAUUUCUUCCUUGCUGUAAAAAAGAAGUGAAUGAGAAAAGUUCAAAAUGUCCCUCCUAUAGGAAGAAAGGUAAUUUUUUAAAUCCAUUUCUUCUGCUUCUAUAUAUCUUAUAGAUUUCUUCAAUGUCUUGGUCACUUUUUGUUAUAUAUUUAUGGUAUAAAUAUAAAAUGAGAAAGAAAUAAUCAAAUUAGAUAAAGUGCCAGAGUGGUGGGAAAUGUGGCUUCUGUGUGGUGAAGACUGUUACUUCCAUCUUACCUAUAUAAACCCAUAUCCUGUUUUGGAAAAAAGACACACAAAAAGAAAAUAGAAAAACCAUCUUGCAUCAAUCUUCCUUCUCAUAUUCUGAAUUUCUUAUAUUCGUGUUUUUUACAUAUAUUUUGGAGUAAAACUGAGAGUUCUUGAUAAACCAUUCGUGAUUGCUGCACAAGUGGUUUACGAUCGUUGUAUCCUGGGAGUGAUUGUCCACGGAGGUCGCAGCAAUUAUCGACGGGCAAUUUCACUUUAGGACAUCGUGCUGUCGCGAGACUCGAUCGGACGAUCAAUUUUAUAUUUCUGCAUUAUAUUGUUCUGAUCACUACUGCAACUAAAUAUCUUUUCCAACACUUUUGUAUUCAUUGGAAGGUUAUAAUGUUAGGUUAUCACAUGUAGGCACUUAAACUUGCAAAAUAGCUUUUUUGUUUCCACUUCUUGUUUAACAGCAUCUAACAUUUAAGUUUCAGGUCAUUAAUGCCACUAGCAAUGAGACCUGGGGCACUCAUGGAUCUCUUCGUGCUGAUAUUGCUCAAGCAUAAAAAAAAAUUAUUAAGUUUAAUGAAUCUUCCUUGUCUUCUCGAUCAUCCUAUUCAUCAUAAAUUAUUCAUUUUUUAUUUCAAUAAUCACGAGUAUUAGAUAAUUAUGGCAGUAAUCUCAAAGCACAUCAAUGAUACUAGAAAAAAUUGGCGUCAUGUCUAAAAGGUUUUUUCCCCUUAUUUACAAAGAAGUUGUUGGUUUUGUCAUUGAAAUUCUUUUCUAUGCAAGCUUACUGAAAUUUCAUGUUAUAUAUUUUUACUCAGUUUUUCCCCUUUGAUUAGUUUUUCCUAAAUCUUAUCACCUGUUAAUUUAUUCUUUCUUAUUCCUCUUAAAUAUUUUUAUACUAUAUUGUUUAUGUUAUCAUUUAAUACGUUCAUAAUACAUUAAUACCCACAAUUGAUGGCAAAUUGAUUCAGACAUAAAUGGUUUUUUUAUUCAAUUUGAAAUGAUAAAUACACAUCUCAAGGGUGUUUUAUUUGCACCUUCAAAUAAAUUUGCAAUGUACAUUACCUAUUCUUUUGAGUUUUUUUUUUUCUUUUCUAGAAAUGGUGCAUUCUUAUUACUUGCUUUCAUAUAAGUUAGUUCUUCUAAUCCUAUAUUCUUCUUUAAACAUUAAAUCCAUAUCAACAUUAAAAAUGCUAAUAUUACGUUCAAAAUAAUCCGACCCGUGCAUUGCACGGGCAACAAACUAGUAUCACUACAAAAGGCAUUUCUAUAGUAGCUACAACACGGUAGAAGAAGGAUCAAUAGCUAUUUUUCAUCUGCGUGGAAAUUUAAGUACGAUUUCCAGCAAUAGUAACUAUAUCAUUGCUGAUCGUGUGAGCUUUUGGGAUUCAAAUUUCUUGGUGUAUUCUAUAGUUUCACAAUUCUAUGUAAUUUUUCAUUCUUAGCUAUACUGCAAUUGUCCAGAAAUUGUUGAUUAUCCAUACUGCACUGCAUUAGAAAUUCUGAAAAUUUAAGAACCCUGAUCUGAGUAUACACUGCUGUUGGUUUAAUUUUUUCAAGAGGCACUUCGAUAGAAACGCUAGAAGGGUACCGAGCAUCAGCAGCUGGAAUUUUUUCAAGAAUUGAACGUACGUUGCACAAGAUUUCAAAAUUCUCUUUAUUAUACAACCCAGUUCUAUCCAAUUCUCCCACCACAACAUGGCAAAAGAAUAUAAAGGGAUAAAGAGUUAUGUUGAAUAGUGAUAUGCUUGGAAGAGAUGUAAAGGGGAAAGGAAAGGAAAAGAGAAGCAGAAUCCUUGCUUAGAUACAGAAGCAAAGUGGUGUGUCCCAUUCUUUCAAUUUUCCAUAUGAUUUCUUCAAGCAUAUGUUCCAAAUGCAUCUCAAAACAUUUUCUCGUUAUUCUCAUUCUCUGGAGGGAAAAAUAUGUAUUUUUGCUUUCAUCUAAUUUAGGUACUACUUGAUACCUUUUGACUAAAAAUUUUGCUCAAUGAACAACGGACGAUAUGGUUAGAUAGCAUAUAAUGGUAUGUUGAGAUCAU
rnacentral:lncRNA from 1 species